rnacentral:rRNA from 1 species
AACAAACGCUGGCGGCGUGUCUUAAGCAUGCAAGUUGAGCGGCAAGGAGGAGAGAUCCUCCCUAGAGCGGCGGACUGGUGAGUAACGCGUGGGUAAUCUAUCGUAGGCAUGGGGAUAGUCACUAGAAAUAGUGGGUAAUACCGAAUACGUUCCAUGAGGGGAGUAUUCAUGGAAGAAAGGGUGCUACGGCACUGGCCUUAGGUGAGCUCGCGUCCCAUUAGCUAGUUGGUGAGGUAAAGGCCCACCAAGGCGAUGAUGGGUAGCCGGCCUGAGAGGGUGUACGGCCACACUGGGACUGAAAUACGGCCCAGACUCCUACGGGAGGCAGCAGCUAAGAAUAUUCGCAAUGGACGAAAGUCUGACGGAGCGACGCCGCGUGGAUGAAGAAGGCCGAAAGGUUGUAAAGUUCUUUUGCUAGGGGAGAUAAGUGAGGGAGGAUGCCUCAUGAUGACAAGGACUAGCGAAUAAGCCCCGGCAACUACGUGCCAGCACG